rnacentral:rRNA from 1 species
UUGGCGGUAGAAUAGUUUGGCCAAGCAAGUUUUCMUUAAUCAAGYGGAAAGUAGGGGGAGGAAGACGAUCGAUAUACUGGUGUAGUCUAUCUAUAAAMGAACCAGCCCAGUAUUUGGGAAGACWYUACCCCAGGGCCUCUGAGCACCCAAGGGAAACCAUAAGUCUUGGGUCUGGGGGGAGUAUAGUCGCAAGACGAAACUAAAGGAAUGACGAAUGGCACUUCAGGC